CCCAGUUAGAGAUUUUAAGGGAACAAAGAAAGUGAAAGUGAAAUCGCUCAGUCGUGUCCGACUCUUUGUGACCCCAUGGACUGUAGCCUGCCAGGCUCCUCUGUCCAUGGGAUUCUCCAGGCAAGAAUACUGGAGUGGGUUGCCAUUCCCUUCUCCAGGGGAUCUUCCCGACCCAGGGAUUGAACCCGGGUCUCCUGCAUUGCAAACAGACGCUUUACCCUCUGACCAGGCCGUGGCUAUAUCUGAACCGCAACAGAAACAAUAAAUCAGUGUGGACUCCCAGUUCUGUUUCAGAGGUACAGAUCAGCCUGGUGACACAGUGGAAAUUCACCCUCUGGAUCUUUCAUGUGAUCUUUUGUUCUAGGCAGCUGGGAGCAGAUAUGGUACUCUUCUUUGAGUUUUCCAGUUUGUCUCAAUUUUGUGUGGCUUGUGAACCAUAUCCUUAAUCCAAAUACAGAUAAAUGCGCAUGGUCUUAUUUCCAACGUCCCCCCACAACCCGCCACUGCUGUUUGUUUCCUUCAGCGCUUCUCCUAUGAAAGAGAAGGCUUGGGCAUUGGAAGGAAGGCGUGGGGAGUGGGUCUCUGGAGAAUUUGCUAAGAGGAAGGAAUGGCAUGAAUGAAGACCGGAAAGCUGAUGACUCACGCUGCGGCUUGGGUCUGGGUUUUAUAUGAGAAGGCAUCCUGCAGAGAGGCCAGCCCGAUCCGGGUCCUGGCCCUUGGGGGUGGGGCUCGCCCUGGGGGAGGAGCAUUUUAUGGGUGACGGUGUAUAUGCUCUUUAGCCGCCCUGAUGUGGAAUUUCAGGGGAGGCCGCAGAGGCCUGAGCUUAUAACAGAAUGUGGCAAGGAGUCUCCACCCAGGGGAAAGCGGGUGGAGAAAGCUGUCAGCCUGAAGGGGGCGCCACGCGAACCGACUCCCCCAGGAAGCUCUGGUCCGAAAGCCCCUCCGGACCUGGUCUGAGAACCGGGCUGACUUUAAAUUGAGGCUGAGUUCCAUUUAACACACGCCCCAAGUUAAAUCCACCUUUCUUCAGCCAUAAUACAUCCAAUAGGCUUGUUCAGAUCCUGUAGCUUUUUAGCCUGAGAGGGGGCGAUGCCACAGGGCUUCCAAGCCACAGCCCCUGUGCAGGUUCUAAAACAGGGUCUUGGUGGUGGGGCUGCUGGAGAAUACACAGGAUGCCCCGUGAAAUGUGAAUUUCAGGCAAAACAAUUUUCAGUAGGUGUUCCAUACAAUAUUUGGGAUAUAUUUAAAAUGACAUUUAAAAAAUUCUGGUAACUGGGCCCUAUCCCCAGAGGUUCUGAUUCCGUUGGUGUGGGGGGCAGCGCAGGCAUCAUUG
ensembl:lncRNA